AGAGUUUGAUCCUGGCUCAGGAUGAACGCUGGCGGCGUGCCUAAUACAUGCAAGUCGAACGCUGGAGAUCUAGCUUGCUAGAUCGAAGGAGUGGCGAACGGGUGAGUAAUACAUAAGCAACCUACCCACGAAGACUGGGAUAAUCUCUGGAAACGGGGACUAAUACCGGAUAGGUAAUCGGAAGGCAUCUUCUGAUUAUUAAAGGUUAAAAACACUGGUGGAUGGGCUUAUGGCGCAUUAGUUAGUUGGUGAGGUAACGGCCCACCAAGACGAUGAUGCGUAGCCGGCCUGAGAGGGUGAACGGCCACAUUGGGACUGAGACACGGCCCAGACUCCUACGGGAGGCAGCAGUAGGGAAUUUUCGGCAAUGGGGGAAACCCUGACCGAGCAACGCCGCGUGAGUGAUGACGGCCUUCGGGUUGUAAAGCUCUGUUGUAAGGGAAGAACGGUAGAUAGAGAAUAUCUAAGUGACGGUACCUUACCAGAAAGCCACGGCUAACUACGUGCCAGCAGCCGCGGUAAUACGUAGGUGGCGAGCGUUAUCCGGAAUUAUUGGGCGUAAAGGGUGCGUAGGCGGCCUGUUAAGUAAGUGGUUAAAUUGUUGGGCUCAACCCAAUCCAGCCACUUAAACUGGCAGGCUAGAGUAUUGGAGAGGCAAGUGGAAUUCCAUGUGUAGCGGUAAAAUGCGUAGAUAUAUGGAGGAACACCAGUGGCGAAGGCGGCUUGCUAGCCAAAGACUGACGCUCAUGCACGAAAGCGUGGGGAGCAAAUAGGAUUAGAUACCCUAGUAGUCCACGCCGUAAACGAUGAAUACUAAGUAUUGGGGAAACUCAGUGCUGCAGCUAACGCAAUAAGUAUUCCGCCUGUGGAGUAUGCACGCAAGUGUGAAACAUAAAGGAAUUGACGGGGGCCCGCACAAGCGGUGGAGUAUGUGGUUUAAUUCGACGCAACGCGAAGAACCUUACCAGGUCUUGACAUUGAUGGACAGAACUAGAGAUAGUUCCUCUUCUUCGGAAGCCAGAAAACAGGUGGUGCACGGUUGUCGUCAGCUCGUGUCGUGAGAUGUUGGGUUAAGUCCCGCAACGAGCGCAACC
rnacentral:rRNA from 1 species